GCCGAGGCAGAGGCGGCGCACUGGCGGCUUCCCUCUGAGCGCGCCUCCUGGGGGUGCGGGACUAGGAACACCUCUUUCCUUGUCCUAGGUGUGCAGAGCUCCGAGUUACCACGGUGCGGCUUCGGGCGGGGGAGGGGGCGGGGGGAGUGGGUUGUGGAUCGGGGUUCCAAGAAGUGGGAAUUUGGAGUCCUGGGUUUCCUAGCUGUCUCUCUGCUGUCCCUCGAGCCGGGUCGAACCAGCUGCCCGAGCCCGAAGCCUUCCCAGCUCACCAUUCACAGGCGCCUCGUGGGCUCUUUUCCAUUGGCUUGGAAAGCGCGUUCAAGAAUCAUCGUUCAAUGGACUUGACCCACCGGUUGAGUAAAUGAGAUUCCAAACGCUUCCUGAUCUGGGAGGAUCCCAAGAAGAUCCCAGGGCGAGGGUCCUAGCCGGUCUCGGAGGUCAAGUAUGACUGGCGGAUCGUGGACGCUAGCUUUCCAGGGCCCCACAGGCGAGCCAGCGCAUGAAGACUUGGAAAAUCCUGCUUUCGAGUUCAAAGCAAGACAAAGUUGAUCGUUUCCACUUCGUCUACACCACAAGGCAGCUGUGAGUUCGCUAAUAGAGUGGUCUGGUUUCAGGGUUCUAGAACCUUCCCUCUACUCUCCCAGAUCCCAUCCACUGUAAAGCCACGGAGCCUGGCCGGACCGUGACAUCUCAGUGAACUCUGCCGGGCCACCCCACCAAGUUCAGCCUGCUCCUGUUUACAACAUGAGCCCGGCUAGCUAGCACUCUGGAAAUGGCCACAAGGAAAAAAAAACAAUACUUAAAAAAUAAAUACGAAAUCUAACUGGCUAUCAA
rnacentral:lncRNA from 1 species